UACGUAGGGUGCGAGCGUUGUCCGGAAUUAUUGGGCGUAAAGAGCUUGUAGGCGGUCUGUCGCGUCUGCUGUGAAAAUCCGGGGCUCAACCCCGGACUUGCAGUGGGUACGGGCAGACUAGAGUGUGGUAGGGGAGACUGGAAUUCCUGGUGUAGCGGUGAAAUGCGCAGAUAUCAGGAGGAACACCGAUGGCGAAGGCAGGUCUCUGAGCCACUACUGACGCUGAGAAGCGAAAGCGUGGGGAGCGAACAGG
rnacentral:rRNA from 1 species